UUCUAUUCCUUUUUAUCGGUUAAUUUCCCACCACCUUUAAACGUAAUCGCGCUCAUUGCGUAACAAUAAUCGACUAAUAAAGCCUUGCUUAUUUUCCAAAAUCACUACAAUACGAAGUAAUUUUGUUUGGCAUCGUUAUUUCUGGAAAUCAAUACUCAAACCGUGCCACUCGAGGCUGAUAAUAGGUACACGAAGUCCCAGAUGUAAACGCGAUACCGAGAAGAAGAAGAUGGAAACUUGUAUGAAAAUCAUCGACGUUUCACGCCGAUUGUCAAUUCAAUCGAAAACUGUUUAUUCUCGAACACCCUGCAACGUGAACCUUUGGUUCCCGAAAUUAACCACACG
rnacentral:misc_RNA from 1 species